UACGGAGGGUGCAAGCGUUAUCCGGAUUCACUGGGUUUAAAGGGUGCGUAGGAGGGCAGGUAAGUCAGUGGUGAAAUCUCCAAGCUUAACUUGGAAACUGCCGUUGAUACUAUCUGUCUUGAAUACCGUGGAGGUGAGCGGAAUAUGUCAUGUAGCGGUGAAAUGCUUAGAUAUGACAUAGAACAUCGAUUGCGAAGGCAGCUCGCUACACUAUGAUUGACACUGAGGCACGAAAGCGUGGGGAUCAAACAGG
rnacentral:rRNA from 1 species